GACGGAGAAGGCUAUGUUAGCCGGGCGACGGUUGUCCCGGUUUAAGCAUGUAGGCUGGUUGUCCAGGCAAAUCCGGAUAAUCAAGGCUGAGGUGUGAUGACGAGGCACUACGGUGCUGAAGUAACAAAUGCCCUGCUUCCAGGAAAAGCCUCUAAGCAUCAGGUAACAUCAAAUCGUACCCCAAACCGACACAGGUGGUCAGGUAGAGAAUACCAAGGCGCUUGAGAGAACUCGGGUGAAGGAACUAGGCAAAAUGGUGCCGUAACUUCGGGAGAAGGCACGCUGGUGUGUAGGUGAAGUCCCUGCGGAUGGAGCUGAGACCAGUCGAAGAUACCAGCUGGCUGCAACUGUUUAUUAAAAACACAGCACUGUGCAAACACGAAAGUGGACGUAUACGGUGUGACGCCUGCCCGGUGCCGGAAGGUUAAUUGAUGGGGUUAUCCGUAAGGAGAAGCUCUUGAUCGAAGCCCCGGUAAACGGCGGCCGUAACUAUAACGGUCCUAAGGUAGCGAAAUUCCUUGUCGGGUAAGUUCCGACCUGCACGAAUGGCGUAAUGAUGGCCAGGCUGUCUCCACCCGAGACUCAGUGAAAUUGAACUCGCUGUGAAGAUGCAGUGUACCCGCGGCAAGACGGAAAGACCCCGUGAACCUUUACUAUAGCUUGACACUGAACAUUGAGCCUUGAUGUGUAGGAUAGGUGGGAGGCUUUGAAGCGUGGACGCCAGUCUGCGUGGAGCCAACCUUGAAAUACCACCCUUUAAUGUUUGAUGUUCUAACGUUGGCCCCUNACCGGGGUUGCGGACAGUGUCUGGUGGGUAGUUUGACUGGGGCGGUCUCCUCCCAAAGCGUAACGGAGGAGCACGAAGGUUAGCUAAUCCUGGUCGGACAUCAGGAGGUUAGUGCAAUGGCAUAAGCUAGCUUGACUGCGAGCGUGACGGCGCGAGCAGGUGCGAAAGCAGGUCAUAGUGAUCCGGUGGUUCUGAAUGGAAGGGCCAUCGCUCAACGGAUAAAAGGUACUCCGGGGAUAACAGGCUGAUACCGCCCAAGAGUUCAUAUCGACGGCGGUGUUUGGCACCUCGAUGUCGGCUCAUCACAUCCUGGGGCUGAAGUAGGUCCCAAGGGUAUGGCUGUUCGCCAUUUAAAGUGGUACGCGAGCUGGGUUUAGAACGUCGUGAGACAGUUCGGUCCCUAUCUGCCGUGGGCGCUGGAGAAUUGAGGGGGGCUGCUCCUAGUACGAGAGGACCGGAGUGGACGCAUCACUGGUGUUCGGGUUGUCAUGCCAAUGGCACUGCCCGGUAGCUAAAUGCGGAAGAGAUAAGUGCUGAAAGCAUCUAAGCACGAAACUUGCCCCGAGAUGAGUUCUCCCUGAGACUUUAAGUCUCCUGAAGGAACGUUAAAGACGAUGACGUUGAUAGGCCGGGUGUGUAAGCGCAGCGAUGCGUUGAGCUAACCGGUACUAAUGAACCGUGAGGCUUAACCUU
rnacentral:rRNA from 1 species